rnacentral:rRNA from 1 species
UGAGCAAUCUGCCCUUCUCUUCGGAAUAAGCGUUGGAAACGACGUCUAAUGCCGAAUACGACCUCCUUUCGCAUGAUCGGAGGUGGAAAGCUCCGGCGGAGAAGGAUGAGCUCGCGGCCUAUCAGCUAGUUGGUGUGGGUAAUGGCCCACCAAGGCGACGACGGGUAGCCGGCCUGAGAGGGUGACCCGGCCACACUGGGACUGAGACACGGCCCAGACCUCCGUACGGGGAGCAGCG